AGCCGCCGACCAGUAGUAGGUGUUGCCCCUAAGUGGGCCGCGAACGAUUGUUGCCCACGUGCGACGAUCCUUCACCUGAAAAUCAGUAUCAGAAAGAACAACAUUAACAAUAUUGUGACGACAUAAUUAGGCAAUAGAGAUCAAAUUUUUACGCAUAUGUGGAACACAGAGAGUCCCACGUAAUAAAAGAGAGGAAUAACUGUUAAGUUCUCCAGUAUGUGUAAUUGUCAAACCUUCACCGUUACCAAUAACCACAUUGUCGAAAUCAGUGUAAGGAUUGGGAAGAGACAUGUUGGCAAGAUCAGAGGUUAUGUGAUGGGAGGCACCAGAGUCCAGGAUCCAAUCGGAUGUAGAGGGAAUCGUCGGAGAGUGAUGGGAUGUGUGAGCAGCCGGAUAAGGUGGCGAAGCAUAAGCUGGCCGCGGCAGUGGUCCACCGUAAGGGGGAUGAUUGGCGCCGGAGAUAGGAUAGGACGGACAGCGGCGUGCGGAGUGGCCUUCUCGUAUUGCUUACAAAGGUAUAUAUAGAGUACAGAGAGAAACCAAAUCCUAUCAAUUAUAGGACUGUACAAUAAUAAAGGAAAUUAAAUACUACCAACUAUAGGACUGUACAAUAUAUUCUAAUAUGAAUACCUACCAAAUUUAGGUUGCUACUGGUUGGCAGUACUCCCACAAUUCAUUGGCCAACCAUCCAGAUCCACUUUCCCAUUUCGUGCGAAUUGGGUACAAAAGAAGUGAACGAUAAGAUAUAUCAAAUUUUUCCAAAAUUUGGGGAGAAUCAUUUCACCAUUUACUUUGAUUACUUGAGCACCAACUUUAGAAUGUAAAUAAAUUCAAUUCUCACAUCCCCAAAUAUCAAUUUUUUCUAUAUGACCAAAAAACUUCCCAAUUCAGCCAAUGUGAACUUGCUCACAUUGUCAAAUCAAAAUCCGAAGUUGGGAGGACCGGCAAUUAAGUAAACCUCACAAUUUAUGAUGAAUCCUUAAUUUGCUUAACAUAAAGAUGAGACCAAAUGGAUUGCGGUAGCUAAUAUGCAAACAACUCGAAUACUAUCUAAUUUCGUUUUUCCAGCAGAAUGGAAGGAAUAAUAGAUAAAGAUGUUACAUGUAUAAUCAAAAUCGUUUACUAAUUACACAUUUUAAUCUUAAAACUAAUGAAGCGAAUUCCUACAAGAAGUCCAAGACUCCAAGCUAAAGUAUGCUAAGUAAAAAGGACAAGGAAACCUCAUAAAGAAAUAGUAAAUAUAUUGCUAUACUGCUGAAAAGGUACCCUUAAUCAGCCAAACCAACAAAAGUUGACUAAUAGAACUUUUGUUUUUCCACAAUUAGUCUUUAUUCUUAAACUAAGCGCACAUCCUUAGUCUUAAACUAAGCACACGUACGACACUUGGGAGCUCGCUCACGAUCUUACACAGCUUGUUCGCGUUCUUGUUAUGCCAAGUCGGCCCAAUUACACUAAAUAACGCUAAGAAAUAUUAGAACACAUGAGAAUUCCUAAAGCAAGCUUUGUAUUAGAGAGAAGUUGAUUGUUU
rnacentral:lncRNA from 1 species